CGAAGGGGGCUAGCGUUGUUCGGAAUUACUGGGCGUAAAGCGCGCGCAGGUGGUCUUUCAAGUCAGUGGUGAAAGCCCGGAGCUCAACUCCGGAAAUGCCAUUGAAACUGUAAGACUUGAGGAUGAGAGAGGUGAGUGGAAUUCCCAGUGUAGAGGUGAAAUUCGUAGAUAUUGGGAAGAACACCGGUGGCGAAGGCGGCUCACUGGCUCAUAUCUGACGCUCAGGCGCGACAGCGUGGGGAUCAAACAGGAUUAGAUACCCUGGUAGUCCACGCCGUAAACGAUGAAUGCUAGCCGUUGGGCAGCUUGCUGUUCAGUGGCGCAGCUAACGCAUUAAGCAUUCCGCCUGGGGAGUACGGCCGCAAGGUUG
rnacentral:rRNA from 1 species